GCGCGGUGGACGUGGCCGAGCUGCAGGAGUGGUACAAGAAGUUCCUGACGGAGUGCCCCAGCGGGUCGCUCUUCAUGCACGAGUUUAAGCGCUUCUUCAAGGUCGCAGGCAACGAGGAGGCCACUCAAUAUGUAGAGGGCAUGUUUGUUCCGCGCCUUCGACAGGAACGGGGACAACACCAUCGACUUCCUGGAGUACGUGGCAGCCCCGAACCUCAUGCUGAGGGGCAACCUGGAGCACACGCUGAAGUGGACCUUCAAGAUCUAUGACAAGGACCGCAACGGCUGCAUCGACCGCCUGGAGCUGCUGGACAUCGUGGAGUCCAUCCACAAGCUGAAGAAGGCCUGCAGGGUGGAGAUGGAGGCUGAGCAGCAAGGCCAGCUGCUCACACCUGAGGAAGUCGUGGACAGGAUCUUCCUUCUGGUGGAUGAGAAUGGAGAUGGCCAGCUGUCCCUGAACGAAUUCAUUGAAGGUGCCCGUCGUGACAAGUGGGUGAUGAAGAUGCUGCAGAUGGAUGCGAGUCCCGGCAGCUGGAUCUUUCAGCAGAGGCGGAAGAGUGCCAUGUUCUGAGGGGCCUGUGGCCCUGGGAGCCCCCGGGGACUCCAGGCUCACCAGGUUUCCAGAGUAGUGGGGGGGGCAUCCCUGGCUCAGCCUGCUAUGCCUACUCUCAUCCUGGCACGGACUUCCUGGUGCCUCCCGUGUAGGGGGUGGGGCUGAGUGGGGAGGAGGGAUCUGAAGGGGUCAGUAGGGCCAUGGGUCCUAUUGGGAGGUUUCACAUUCAUGGGGUGCUGAAGGGAACUGGCUUCCUCUUCCCUUCUGCUCCAGGGAAAGCCCGGCCUUGGCAGGGUGGUUGAGCUCCCACAAAUUCCUGCGCAGUUCUUAGCUGAACGCAGGGAAAACUGGGGAGUGGGGAUCCCACAGACCAACUUAGCAAUGAGAAUGCCCACACGGCCUGAGACUGACUGGUAGCAGGGAGGGGCUGGCAGGUGUUAUUGACUCGGGAGCAAAGGUGGGACCUGGGGGGAGGGGAUGGCUAAUAAUUACCCCCCCAUCCUAAGGAAUGUGCCCGUGAGGACAUGUGCCUCUUCCUCCCCCAGUUGUCCUCACCAGGGGUGUCCACGGGAAACUUGCAACGAGUCAGGCUGUGGUCUGCCUGCCCUUGGAGGAGGUCAGCUGUGCUUAAAGGGGCUGUUCCAACUCUGCCCCGUGCUGUCCCCCCCAAAUCUCCUCUCCCCUCUGCAUCCCCACACACACCUCCCCAACCCCCACCCCCAGCAAGGACCUUCCACAGCUCCGCAUUGCAAGCCCACAAGUCAAACGUGUCUCCUUAAAGGAUGGAAGAAACCUUUCCUCUGUCCCUGGGGAGAACUGGGGGCCUGCCAAUCUGGGUUCUAGACCGGGUUUUGCCUCCAACUGCUAUGUGACCCAAGACGGCCACUUCUCUUCCCUAACUUCAGUUAUCUCAUCUACAGCGUGAGCAGUUUAGACAAGUGGUUUUCAGAUGAUUCUUUUUUGGCUGUGAAAUUCUUUUUGUUAUACAAACUGUGUAUGCCACCCCAGUACAGACACCAGAUGAAAAGGCAGUCCUUCUGGUGGCAGGGGUUGCUGAGGACCUCAGAAAACAAACUCAUGUGAAUAUAUGCUUUUGUGUUGGUGUAUGAAAAAUAAAACUAACUUGUUGAGC
rnacentral:lncRNA from 1 species